ACAUGCCUACAACAUAGCAUUAAUGCACUGGAUCCCAUUAGAACUUUGCAGUUAAGUGCACUCAGGAUAGAGUAGUACUAGGAUGGGUGACCGCCUAGGAAGUCCUAGUAUUUUACAUGCC
rfam:Picea glauca, whole genome shotgun sequence.